UACGUAGGGACCAAGCGUUGUUCGGAUUUACUGGGCGUAAAGGGCGCGUAGGCGGCUUGACAAGUCACUUGUGAAAUCUCCGGGCUUAACUCGGAACGGCCAAGUGAAACUGUCAUGCUAGAGUGCAGAAGGGGCAAUCGGAAUUCUUGGUGUAGCGGUGAAAUGCGUAGAUAUCAAGAGGAACACCUGAGGUGAAGACGGGUUGCUGGGCUGACACUGACGCUGAGGAGCGAAAGCCAGGGGAGCAAACGGG
rnacentral:rRNA from 1 species